rnacentral:rRNA from 1 species
GACGAACGCUGGCGGCGUGCUUAACACAUGCAAGUCGAACGGUAAGGCCCUUCGGGGUACACGAGUGGCGAACGGGUGAGUAACACGUGGGUGAUCUGCCCUGCACUUCGGGAUAAGCCUGGGAAACUGGGUCUAAUACCGGAUAGGACCACUGCCUGCAUGGGUGGUGGUGGAAAGCUUUUGUGGUGUGGGAUGGGCCCGCGGCCUAUCAGCUUGUUGGUGGGGUAAUGGCCUACCAAGGCGACGACGGGUAGCCGGCCUGAGAGGGUGACCGGCCACACUGGGACUGAGAUACGGCCCAGACUCCUACGGGAGGCAGCAGUGGGGAAUAUUGCACAAUGGGCGCAAGCCUGAUGCAGCGACGCCGCGUGAGGGAUGACGGCCUUCGGGUUGUAAACCUCUUUCAGUAGGGACGAAGCGCAAGUGACGGUACCUACAGAAGAAGGACCGGCCAACUACGUGCCAGCCGCCGCUGUAA